AACACAUAUGCAGCUGCUAGAAGAGGAGUGUAAAGGAGAGCUGGUGGCUUUGGAAGGUUGCUGUUUAUAUGUCUGCUGAAGGAUAGGGGAUCCUAUUCAUCAGUGGCAUUUGGAAAUAGAGCUGGAUGCAGAGUGGAGAGUGAUAACAAGCUGAAUCCACUGGAUGAACUUCAAAGAGUAAUGGCUGCUGCUUCAUUUCUGCUUUCCAAAUCACAUUGGAUUAUCUUUUGACCACCUCUGAGAACCAUAUGGGGAAAGAGGAUUCUGGGCAAUAUUGUUCCAGGUCAAACAAGCUGAUAAACUACAAGCUGAUAAACUACAAAACAACCGCACUCCAGCUCAUGUCAGCUUGGUGUCAUUCACAUCUCUUUUAUCCAUAUUUGCAUCUAAUAGGGGUGAGCACAUAGACGACAUGUUGAAACAAUGGUGUCAUAAGAUCAAAGUUUCUUCAAUUGCUGAGUGACUGCACAGAGGACACUUUCCUUGUAGAGUUAUUCAAACUACAAA
rnacentral:lncRNA from 10 species